UACGAAGGGGGCUAGCGUUGUUCGGAAUUACUGGGCGUAAAGGGCUCGUAGGCGGCCAACUAAGUCCGACGUGAAAUCCCAAAGCUUAACUUUGGAACUGCGUCGGAUACUGGAUGGCUUGAAUUCGGGAGAGGGAUGCAGAAUUCCAGGUGUAGCGGUGAAAUGCGUAGAUAUCUGGAGGAAUACCGGUGGCGAAGGCGGCAUCCUGGACCGACAUUGACGCUGAGGAGCGAAAGCUAGGGGAGCAAACGGG
rnacentral:rRNA from 1 species